UGCAGGAAACUAAAGCUUUUGUUUGUAUAAUUUUGUUUCUUCAUUUUGUCUUACUAUGGUUGUUUCUUAUAUUCUGAGGUAGGUACUUGAUUCAUUGGUUACUCUGAAAAAUCUCAAUUUGAAGUAGGAAAUGGUUUAAGGACAGUCUCUGUGUAGCUUAUGAUAUAUAUUGUAUGGUGUAAUCUGAGCUUUGGGUAUAUAAAAUGGUGCUAAUAUUUAUUCUUUAAAUGGCAGUACAUUCUUUAGGAACUGAAGGAAUGAAAAAAGAUGGACCACAAAUCCUGCUAGCGGAUAAAGAUUGAGUAUAUACUGUUCUGUGCGAGUGACAUCAAGGCGUUACUGUUCAUUCGAGCCCCAAUUGAAUGACGCUUUUGCCCUUCUCUUCUUUGUCUAAUUACGGGUUGCCAUGCUUCUAUACGUUUGCAGACGUCUCUAUAUGAGGCAACCGACCUCAUACUUUUCCAGGAGUCUCUAUGUUGAGGCAAUAUAGAGAACCACAGUCGUUUCCAGAAGUCGAUCGCCUGAUCUACUGAAAGUCCAAAGUCACGGUAGCAAGACAACGGGAAACAACCUCUUCCUCCUUCUUGAUCUACAAAGUAUGAGGUGCGUAGUUCCUUUUUGUUAAUCUUUCGUGUGUGUUUGCGAUUAUCACCGAAUUCAAUUUCUAUUGUAACCAGUUUGCUUCAAAAAUCUGCUUCCUUAACUAAUCUGGGACAUGUCCCUCUGAAGUAAAUUUGACAGCAGUCCCUAAUAAGUUGCAUAAUAUUUGCUUAAGCCUUCUCCUAUCACCGCUCACGUGUGCAAACUUUAGGAAAGAGCAAUCAUAAGGAUCCAACACCACAUCUACGCCCUUCUUUAAACCCGAUGGAAGAAAGAAAUCGAUUACCUCUUCAACAAGUUGGAAUAUGUCAAAUUCCUCAUCUUCAAGUACCAUCUUACCCGCUUCAAUUUUGCUUUUAUCAAGAAUAGAGUUCAAAAUACCUGUAAAACAAUUAAGUACACAAUUUGAAAUAACCACAACAACGGAAAAUUUGGUUUCAUUGAGAAAUAUUAAUCAUAUAUAUAGCUUCCCAUUCCUCUUAGUUUAGGUUUUUGGAGAAUAUGAAUCACGGUGGAUUUGCCGUAGAACUUAUGGGUCUGUCUCCUCGAGCAACCGAGAGGGAUGUCUAUGAUUCUUCAUUUUUUCUCCUUCUCUUACUCAAUUGAGAGCAUUGAAAUGGUCAGGUAUAGAUGAGCAAUUUGUGCGAGAGCUCAUAAUUUUACCUUAUUUUUUUAUUUCCGGUAAAUCAUAUUUUUGUUGUUUGGUUUGAAAAAUUACAGAUCCAGUGAAUGUGCAUGUACUGCCUAUGUGACGUUCAAGGAUCCGUACUCUCAUGAGACUGCUUGCUUGCCCAGUGCGAGUCUUUCCUCAACUCAUUGCCCUUUAUUAAUAAAUGUUAAUGUCACUGGGGAAGCCAAAGUUAUUUUGUCAUUGCUUUAAUGCAUGUUGCUAUGUUUUAAUACUUCAAACUGUUUUAGUAGCUGAUAAUUUGGAGGAAAGGGAAAGCAGAUAUGUAGUGAUUAAUAUGUUUGCUUUGGUCAGCUUCAAAUGCUGAAUGAGAAAUAAUUAUAGUUAUCACAAAUUGAUUGUAAGUCUACCAUCGGUCAUUUUUAUGGCAUAAGAAAAGAUGUUGCUUUCAUUGGA